rnacentral:rRNA from 1 species
AGCGAACGUUAGCGGCGGGCCUAACACAUGCAAGUCGAACGCGAAAGGUCUUCGGACUGAGUAGAGUGGCGCACGGGUGAGUAACACGUAGGUAAUCUACCCUUUGGCGGGGGAUAACGUUCCGAAAGGAGCGCUAAUACCGCAUAAGACCACGGAGUCUCCGGACGCUGUGGGAAAAGGUGGCCUCUUCUUGAAAGCUACCACCGAAGGAUGAGCCUGCGUCCCAUCAGCUAGUUGGUAAGGUAAUGGCUUACCAAGGCGAAGACGGGUAGCUGGUUUGAGAGAAUGAUCAGCCACACUGGCACUGGAACACGGGCCAGACUCCUACGGGAGGCAGCAGUGAGGAAUAUUGGGCAAUGGGCGAAAGCCUGACCUAGCCACGCCGCGUGAGUGAUGAAGGCCCUCGGGUCGUAAAGCUCUGUGGAGAGGGACGAAAAACCCUGGUUUCAAAUAGGCUCCAGGCUUGACGGUACCUCUUUAGCAAGCACCGGCUAACUCUGUGCCAGCAGCC